rnacentral:rRNA from 1 species
GAGGAAUAUUGGUCAAUGGGCGUAAGCCUGAACCAGCCAUCCCGCGUGCAGGAAGAAGGCGCUAUGCGUUGUAAACUGCUUUUCCAGGGGAAGAAAACUUUCGUCGAGACGAGACUUGCCGGUACCCUGGGAAUAAGCAUCGGCUAACUCCGUGCCAGCAGCCGCGGUAAUACGGAGGAUGCAAGCGUUAUCCGGAUUUAUUGGGUUUAAAGGGUGCGUAGGCGGAUUAAUAAGUCAGUGGUGAAAACCUGCAGCUUAACUGUAGACCUGCCAUUGAUACUGUUAGUCUUGAGUACGGUCAAGGUAGGCGGAAUGUGUAAUGUAGCGGUGAAAUGCUUAGAUAUUACACAGAACACCGAUUGCGAAGGCAGCUUACUGGGCCAUUACUGACGCUGAUGCACGAAAGCGUGGGGAGCGAAC